GAUGAAGAACGUAGCGAAAUGCGAUAAGUAGUGUGAAUUGCAGAAUUCAGUGAAUCAUCGAAUCUUUGAACGCACAUUGCGCCCUUUGGUAUUCCUUAGGGCAUGCCUGUUCGAGCGUCAUUUAAACCUUCAAGCUCAGCUUGGUGUUGGGUGACUGUCCGCCGCCUCCGGGCGGUCGGACUCGCCUCAAAUUGAUUGGCGGCCGGUACUUUGGCUUCGAGCGCAGCAGAAACGCGAACUCGAGGCCGUCGUCCUGGCUCCCAGAAGCUAUCUUCACAAUUUUGACCUCGGAUCAGGUAGGGAUACCCGCUGAACUUAAGCAUCUCAAUAAGCGGAGGA
rnacentral:misc_RNA from 1 species